GAGUGUGCUUCCGCCUGCCAUGCCCAAGGCUUGAUCUGCCGCCGCCUCUCCUCUACCCAUGCUGUCUGUGACACGUCAGAUCCCCAGCUGCCGGCACUUCUCCUCUGCCCAUGGGCCAUGGCUGUUCUGAUGCAUCAAAUCCACUGCAGAUCGAUCUGCUGUAACAUUGGCUGGGUGUUCUCUUCUCGACUCUACCAACACUCUGGAGUUACAAGCAAUUACAUCAGGAGCUCGGUCAAAAAUCACCUAAGAAAAAUAUGUCGUUCUUCUCUACAAGGGUUGCAUGUGGAAUUUGAGGAGAAUUUGUGCACCAGCAUCCGACUCCUUGAUGUUGCUCUGAUCAUAUUGUGUAAAUAUAUUUCUAAUAAAGCAAUCACCCGAUGGUGUACAUGUUAGAAAUAACAAGAUGUA